UGGGGAAUCUUGCACAAUGGGCGAAAGCCUGAUGCAGCAACGCCGCGUGAGCGAAGAAGGCCUUUGGGUCGUAAAGCUCUGUCCUAAGGGAAGAAGGAAGUGACGGUACCUUAGGAGGAAGCCCCGGCUAACUACGUGCC
rnacentral:rRNA from 1 species